rnacentral:rRNA from 1 species
UACGGAGGGAGCUAGCGUUGUUCGGAAUUACUGGGCGUAAAGCGCACGUAGGCGGCUUUGCAAGUUAGAGGUGAAAGCCUGGGGCUCAACUCCAGAACUGCCUUUAAAACUGCAUCGCUUGAAUCCAGGAGAGGUGAGUGGAAUUCCGAGUGUAGAGGUGAAAUUCGUAGAUAUUCGGAAGAACACCAGUGGCGAAGGCGGCUCACUGGACUGGUAUUGACGCUGAGGUGCGAAAGCCAGGGUAGCGAACGGG